AAACCGUCCCCUAAGUUUUGUAACUGUAGCAAUUUUGGCCCCCCAAGACCAAUUUUUGGUAAAAAAAAAAAACACGUGGCACCUCAAUUAGGGUGCCAUGUCAGCGUAGACUGAGUCAAAUUUGGCCUUGGGGGGCCAAAACUGCCACAAAUGCAAAAUUUAGGGGCGGUUU
rnacentral:pre_miRNA from 1 species